rnacentral:other from 1 species
AACACCCUACUGUGUUCGAGUUGUGACUUUAUGUGUUUUGGGCCAACACUCACUUAUAGGGUUCCAAUAUCGCAGAUGUGACGCGAUAGGCCUGAGCCAAGGCGAAACUUCUGUUGCGGAACCCACCCUGCGAGAGCAGGUUCAAGACUAAGUCACUCACGGCACGGCGGGGUUUUU